UUGUAUGCCUAAAAUGUACCAAUAAACUUAAUGGAAAAAAAAAUCCUGGCAAGUGAUGCUUAAAAGGUUGUGUAAUGUCCUGAGGAAAGAUUUAGAAUAUACAGGUUAAAGAGAACUUUGGAAAGAUGGACAGAUUUGAGUUCAAUAUUUAACUCUUCUCCAAAUAUUUAAAAUUAUUCUCAAAAAAGGAAACAAAGAGUUGAAAACAUAACACAGUCUUGUCCAUGUGAGCUGUGCAUUCACGUUGCCCCAUAGGAGAGGAGUUAGAGAGCUGAUAUAUAAUGAGUUGUGCUCUUCAGGAACUUACGGGGGAAACCUGAGCUUGUGUCUGUGGAGAGCAAAAGAAAUCAAGGGAGAGGGGAAUACUGAACAUUUGAGAAAAUGAGGGGAUGACUGAUUAAACAGACAGAACCUGGAAAACAGCUGGAUGGGAUGGAUCAAUACACCACAGUCAGGAUUGGCCCUGGCAAAAGCGAGGGACACUCAUUUCUCAGAGGUAGGAUGAACAGCUCACUCCUUCCAGAAGAGAAAUGUCUGGUCUAGAGAAUCAUCCAGUCCAACUUAAAAUCUGUUUGGAAUGUGAAGUAAAGGGAGAUACCCAAAGUCAUUCAUGAACCUUGUAAUGAACUUUCAAAGUCAGUAACCUUCCUAAAUUAGAUUCAGAAAUAGUUGUAAGCUAUCUUAGGCAAGACAAUGCUAACAGUAUGCUUUAGUGAAGUCACUACCAGGUGUAAAGAACAGAGGAUUAAUUUUGAGAUGUUUCCAAUAGGCCAGUGAUGGAUGUGGAUUCAUUGGAGGCAGUGCAAAAGGCAGCUUGACAAAAAGGAUGUUUUUGUCUUUAGUGAACUGUACUCAGUUUUAUCAAAUAGUGCUUUAGUAUUCUGUGUCCUCUUUCUGCUACUUAAAAAAAAGA